GCUGGGUACAGUGGUGCAUGCCUGUAAUCCCAGUGGCUUGGGAGGCUGAGGCAGGAAGAUUGCCAAGUUCAAAGCCAGCCUCAGCAAAAGUGAGGCCCUAAGCAACUCAGUAAGACCCUGUCUCAA
rnacentral:sRNA from 1 species